CUCUGCAUCUUUUCUGUUUACAGAUUGUUGGCAUGAUUCUUGAAUUGGGGACUCGAGUUCAAGUAUUAAAUCCAGGCAAGUUCAAAAAAUAAACCACAACAAGUUCUUGUUUAUUUAGCAAUAUAUAAGUUGACUGUGCAAAAAUCAGUGGUUCAAAUAUGCAAGAAGAAUGUAAAAGGUCCAACAUGCACAUGUUGCCAGUGCCCCUAGUAGGCCUCCGCCUCCGGCUGCGUGCAGCUCACGGCUCCUGUACUCCUCCAACAUGUGCACGGUUGCUGCUCUCCUCUGCUUUCUCUCUCUCUUGCAUGAUGUUGCUGCUCCUCUCAAAUCUCUCUAGCUCUAUUAGUUCAUGAUGCUGCCUCAUCUCUGAAUUGUUGUGGUGACGCUGAGGUUUUCUUGUCACCCACAGGAUCCCCUGCCUCCAUGUCCACAUUCAGAUGUGCUGCAAGUUCAAUUGUUUCAGUUCGAGCGGGUGCACGAAACACAAUGUUCUAGUCCGUACUGUCCACAUGUGCUGCAAGGUAGGUCAGACUGUAGAAGCCACUUGCAGCCGCACUUGCCGGCACCCCACCGACCCCCAAGGCACGCCGUCCCACAAUCCGCUGGGCUCGUCGUCCUCCCGAGCUCUGAUUUGCGCGGCUGCUCAUGCUCUGCCUUCCAGGCAGGGCCGGCCCAUUCUAUUUCAAAUAGCUUUGCUCUCCAUCUCUGGCUCUAACUCUUUCAGAUCUGCUGACUUGCAUAGGUCUUCUUAUAUUAAUCUUAUGCCCUUCAUUAAGGAGAUUAGGAGAAGGGGAGACGUUAAUUCAAUUCAUGGUGUUGGCUUCUCA